UGGGGAAUAUUGCACAAUGGGCGCAAGCCUGAUGCAGCCAUGCCGCGUGUGUGAAGAAGGCCUUCGGGUUGUAAAGCACUUUCAGCGAGGAGGAAGGUGGUGAACUUAAUACGUUCAUCAAUUGACGUUACUCGCAGAAGAAGCACCGGCUAACUCCGUGCCAGCAGCCGCGGUAAUACGGAGGGUGCAAGCGUUAAUCGGAAUUACUGGGCGUAAAGCGCACGCAGGCGGUUUGUUAAGUCAGAUGUGAAAUCCCCGGGCUCAACCUGGGAACUGCAUUUGAAACUGGCAAGCUAGAGUCUCGUAGAGGGGGGUAGAAUUCCAGGUGUAGCGGUGAAAUGCGUAGAGAUCUGGAGGAAUACCGGUGGCGAAGGCGGCCCCCCUGGACGAAGACUGACGCUCAGGUGCGAAAGCGUGGGGAGCAAAACAGGAUUAGAUACCCUGGUAGUCCACGCUGUAAAACGAUGUCGAUUUUGGAGGUUGUGCCCUUGAGGCGUGGNUUCCGGAGCUAACGCGUUAAAUCGACCGCCUGGGGAGUACGGCCNCAAGGUUAAAACUCGAAGGAAUUGCGGGGGUCAUNGCUGUUU
rnacentral:rRNA from 1 species